rnacentral:other from 1 species
UAACGCCUGGGAUGUUCGUUUGUGCAGUGAUAUUCUCUUUCUACAAAACAUAUUCACGGGACUCCUACUCUUUAUUACUGAAUUGUUAGCCUUAAUGGUGAAACAGGAUGUUUAAAUAGGAAACCCACUUGAACAAAAGAGUUCAAGAGAAUAAAUCACUGGACGGCAUUUUGGGUUAUUU